rnacentral:misc_RNA from 1 species
AAGGAUCAUUAAUCGAAUAAACAUGUUUCUUGGCAUGAAUUUCAAAACCCAUCUGUGUACCUUACCUGUUGCUUCCGUGCUGCGUGUGCAGCGAAGUGCACUCACCAUGGCCUACUCUUCCCAGUGUGGAGGGGGACCGAGGAUUGUCGGCACGGAAGGUUUUACCGCAAACUCUUGUAUUUCCAUGUUUUCUGUCUGAACUGUCAUACACAAUAAGUUAAAACUUUCAACAACGGAUCUCUUGGUUCUC